rnacentral:rRNA from 1 species
UACAGAGGGUGCGAGCGUUAAUCGGAAUUACUGGGCGUAAAGCGCGCGUAUGCGGCUUUUCAAGUCGAUUGUGAAAUCCCCGGGCUUAACCUGGGAACUGCAGUCGAGACUGUCUAGCUAGAGUAUGGGAGAGGGAAGUGGAAUUUCAGGUGUAGCGGUGAAAUGCGUAGAUAUCUGAAGGAACAUCAGUGGCGAAAGCGACUUCCUGGACCAAUACUGACGCUCAUGUGCGAAAGCGUGGGGAGCAAACAGG